GGCGACCGGCGCACGGGUGAGUAACACGUAUCCAACCUGCCGAUAACUCGGGGAUAGCCUUUCGAAAGAAAGAUUAAUACCCGAUGGUAUAAUUAGACCGCAUGGUCUUGUUAUUAAAGAAUUUCGGUUAUCGAUGGGGAUGCGUGCCAUUAGGCAGUUGGUGAGGUAACGGCUCACCAAACCUUCGAUGGAUAGGGGUUCUGAGAGGAAGGUCCCCCACAUUGGAACUGAGACACGGUCCAA
rnacentral:rRNA from 1 species